rnacentral:lncRNA from 1 species
GCUCUAUCGCCUCCAAAAAUUCCAGCGUUGCUUUUUCUGGCUUGGACAAAAAUAAGUCAGUGUUGGCAAGCACAAUCCCUGUUAUGGCUGCGCCAACGGCUCCGAGACCAACCGACCACAUGCCCAUGGUGAAGAUCCCAAAGUCAGGUAGGAAAGACAUUUACGGCCGCCGCCGCUCCGUGCCGCCGCCUGGCACCGCCCCCCCGGCCGCCCUCUGGCCACGUGCUGCGGGGCUCCCACGCUUCAGGCCGCUAGAUAAAGCGAGCGCAGAGCUCCGGCUCCAUCCCUAAUCCCUUCUUGUCCUC